UACAGAGGUGGCAAGCGUUGUUCGGAAUUACUGGGCGUAAAGGGCUCGUAGGCGGCCAACUAAGUCAGACGUGAAAUCCCUCAGCUUAACUGGGGAACUGCGUCUGAUACUGGAUGGCUUGGAUCCGGAAGAGGUGAGUGGAAUUCCUAGUGUAGAGGUGAAAUUCGUAGAUAUUAGGAAGAACACCAGUGGCGAAGGCGGCUCACUGGUCCGGUACUGACGCUGAGGUGCGAAAGCGUGGGGAGCAAACAGG
rnacentral:rRNA from 1 species